AGAGUUUGAUUCUGGCUCAGAACGAACGCUGGCGGCAGGCCUAACACAUGCAAGUCGAACGAUGUAGCAAUACAUAGUGGCGCACGGGUGAGUAACGCGUGGGAAUGUACCAUUUGGUAGGGAAUAACUCCGGGAAACUGGAGCUAAUACCGCAUACGCCCUUCGGGGGAAAGAUUUAUCGCCAAAUGAUCAGCCCGCGUGAGAUUAGAUAGUUGGUGGGGUAAUGGCCUACCAAGUCUACGAUCUCUAGCUGGUCUUAGAGGAUGACCAGCCACACUGGAACUGAGACACGGUCCAGACUCCUACGGGAGGCAGCAGUGGGGAAUAUUGGGCAAUGGGCGAAAGCCUGACCCAGCCAUGCCGCGUGAGUGAUGAAGGCUCUAGGGUUGUAAAGCUCUUUCGCCGAUGAAGAUAAUGACGGUAGUCGGAGAAGAAGCCCCGGCUAACUUCGUGCCAGCAGCCGCGGUAAUACGGAGGAUCCAAGCGUUAUCCGGAUUUAUUGGGUUUAAAGGGUGCGUAGGCGGCGUUGUAAGUCAGUGGUGAAAGUUUGCAGCUUAACUGUAAAAUUGCCAUUGAUACUGCAGUGCUUGAGUACAGAUGAGGUGGGCGGAAUGUGUCAUGUAGCGGUGAAAUGCAUAGAUAUGACACAGAACACCGAUUGCGAAGGCAGCUCACUAAACUGUAACUGACGCUGAGGCACGAAAGCGUGGGGAUCAAACAGGAUUAGAUACCCUGGUAGUCCACACCCUAAACGAUGAUUACUCGAUGUUAGCGAUAUACAGUUAGCGUCAAAGCGAAAGCGUUAAGUAAUCCACCUGGGGAGUACGCCGGCAACGGUGAAACUCAAAGGAAUUGACGGGGGCCCGCACAAGCGGAGGAGCAUGUGGUUUAAUUCGAAGCAACGCGCAGAACCUUACCACCUUUUGACAUGCCCGGACCACCAGAGAGAUCUGGCUUUCCCUUCGGGGACUGGGACACAGGUGCUGCAUGGCUGUCGUCAGCUCGUGUCGUGAGAUGUUGGGUUAAGUCCCGCAACGAGCGCAACCCACGCCAUUAGUUGCCAUCAUUUAGUUGGGCACUCUAAUGGGACCGCCGGUGGUAAGCCGGAGGAAGGUGUGGAUGACGUCAAGUCCUCAUGGCCCUUACAAGGUGGGCUACACACGUGCUACAAUGGCGACUACAGAGGGUUGCAACCCAGCGAUGGUGAGCUAAUCCCCAAAAGUCGUCUCAGUUCGGAUUGCACUCUGCAACUCGAGUGCAUGAAGUCGGAAUCGCUAGUAAUCGCGGAUCAGCAUGCCGCGGUGAAUACGUUCCCGGGCCUUGUACACACCGCCCGUCACACCAUGGGAGUUGGUUUUACCCGAAGGCGAUGCGCUAACCCGCAAGGGAGGCAGUCGACCACGGUAGGGUCAGCGACUGGGGUGAAGUCGUAACAAGGUAGCC
rnacentral:rRNA from 3 species